CAGGAACGGAUAUAACCCUGACCAUCGAUGCCGAGGCUGCUGGAGCCACAGACUUGAACAACGCAUUCCUGCAUCUCUACGUUGUAAGCAAGGAGACAGGUUUUACCACUCCCCAGAACGGGCUACUAGGCGUCUCCUCCAAGUUACCAGGGUUCUGGUCUAGAAGCACGGUUUCGAUUGCUAAUACAGUUUUGUUUCUGUACUGCAGUAUAAGGGACACUUGGCCCAGAAAGACCAUUUCCACACGGCCACAUAGAGAGGUCAGAUUUGAAAAUGUGAUGACAUAAUGACGACAUCGCUGCUCACGCUGCUCCCUGUGUGAACUGAGUGCUAGUGUGCAUGUGAUGUUGGGCUGAGUAAACCAGAUGCAUCCUGGAUAUACACCUGAUUACCUUGAUAACAACGGGCAGACACACUGGACACAGACUCCAGUUCUUAUUAGAAGGACCGAGCACGCCCCCAUUCUCAUCGACGGGGCUGUAGUGGAGCAGGCUGAGAGCUUCAAGUUCCUUGGGGUCCACAUCACCAACAAACUAACUUGGUACAAGCACAAC
ensembl:lncRNA